rnacentral:misc_RNA from 1 species
GAUGAAGAACGUAGCGAAAUGCGAUAAGUAAUGUGAAUUGCAGAAUUCAGUGAAUCAUCGAAUCUUUGAACGCACAUUGCGCCCGCCAGCACUCUGGCGGGCAUGCCUGUCCGAGCGUCAUUUCAACCCUCAGGCCCCCCGGGGACUGGUGUUGGGGAUCGGCCCGCCCUGGCGCGGCGCCGUCCCCGAAAUACAGUGGCGGUCUCGCUGCAGCCUCCCCUGCGUAGUAGCACACCUCGCAUUGGAGAGCGGCGCGGCCACGCCGUGAAACCCCAACUUCUGAUAGUUGACCUCGGAUCAGGUAGGAAUACCCGCUGAACUUAAGCAUAUCAAUAAGCGGAGGA